rnacentral:rRNA from 1 species
AACGCAGCGAAGGGCGAUAAGUAAUGUGAAUUGCAGAAUUCAGUGAAUCAUCGAAUCUUGAACGCACAUUGCGCCCGCCAGUAUUCUGGCGGGCAUGCCUGUUCGAGCGUCAUUUCAACCCUCAAGCCCCAGCGGCUUGGUGUUGGGGACCGGCCCCGGCCGCCCCCCAAAUGCAGUGGCGACCUCGCCGCAGCCUCCCCUGCGUAGUAGCACAACUCGCACCGGAGCGCGGAGACGGUCACGCCGUAAAACGCCCAACUUCUCAGAGUUGACCUCGGAUCAGGUAGGAAUACCCGCUGAACUUAA